GCAUUUUUUUUUUAUUCUUCAUUUAAUGUUGUAUAAUGUCAUUCAAAUGCCAGUUCAAGAGGUUUGAAUCUCUCCUUGCUAUGAGAAUCAGAGCGUAUGCUCAGUGGGAGGUUAAAGUUCUCUUAAACGGAAUGGUGAAAGAACUUCUUUCACCGUAGUAUAUGAAGAUGCAAGGAGAAUGAAUAUCAGAUACUAGGUGCCCUCGUACUAACCUUCAUGGCUUACCUCCACAAGCAUACACACCCACAUUUGCAUCACUCUCUCACUCUUUGCACAUAUAAUCCCUCAACUCUCAUACGAAAUCGCUCCUCUACUUCUACUUAGACUCACAGCUAUUCCUCUUGACCAAACUGAAAUACAAUGGAUGUUUUCCACUCCUCUCAAUACUCUCCGCCCAAAUACUUCACUUGUUCAGGAAAUUUUGAUGUGACCUUAUCAAACACUUCUCGGGAAGCUUCUUCUACAUUUUCCCCUUUCCUCUAAAUUAGCAACUUUUGUUCACCCAAAGAAACCAUUGUUGGGUGUACACUUAAAAUUGCCGUUUGUUCUAGAAUGACACCUUCAUUUCAUAUCACAGAUGGAUUUGAGGAUGAAUGGCCGACUCCUUUUGAAGUUGGAGUCAAUGCUACUUCCCCCACCCAUUUUUCUAUUUGGAAAGGUCCAUAGUACAUGGGAACUGGUUUCUUGUUCCCUAUAUUUGCCACUUGGGUUGUUUUGGCUUCCAGUCAUAGAAAAGAUGCUGAAAAAGCUGGAAAGUAUCCAACUUUCAAGAGGGAGGUUUGCAUUGUGAUAAUACUGAUUUUAUGUCCCAAGCUACUAUAUUUUCUUAUUUUCUCAUGCCAAUAAAGGGGUCUGUCACAAUCUUAAAAUAUCAAGUCAAAAACUUAAAAUAGUAAGCUACUGUAUUUUCUCAUACCAUAGGCUUCAAUAAGUGAAACAAAAAUUUUCGGCAUGGAGGAUGGAAGAGGAGCCUUCUUGUCACAAUCUUAAAAUAAUAAGCCAAAAACUUCAAGAAAAGAAUCUUCAAGUGCACCAUCCUCACUGAAAAACACAGGUUCGAUGAAUGAAUCCACUGCUCAAGCUUACCUUGAAUACAACAUUAGAGGUGUCUGCAUGUGAAGGAGAAGUAAGCUUAAAUAGGGUGAGGGUCCUUUGUAGAGUGAAGGAACACCUUCUGUUGGUCCUAUAUCUUGAGCCGAAGGGGAGAAGACAAAAUGGUUGUUCUACCCCCUUGCCCAAUUAGAAGAAUAUCAUGCUAUUUUCAAAUUGGAGAUGGGAUAAGUGAAUUUUCUCUCGGCCCACAUGAAAGACAUCCACUGUAGACACCAACUUGCCAAUGACGUGACAACUACAAGGAUGGAAAGGGGAUAAAAGAUUUAUUUGUCUCACGACAUCUUUGGCAUAGAUUCUCCUCCUAGGUUUACUAUCGAUUAGAAUGGAGAAAUUUGCUAUUUGAAGGCAGUUCGACGUCUAGAAUCCUAUUUCCACCCAAGGCCUUCUUCCAAGACACUUUGUCCAAAAAGUGUCAGUCUGUGUGAUCAAAGGCUUUCUCAAAGUCAAUCUUAAAAAUAAACUCUCCACCUUACAAUCCUCGCUAUCUUCAAAAUUUAUUUUCCUUUAACUAGGGCUCCUUGAUAUUCCUAGAAAGUACUAGAGAGCUCUUUCCUAAAUCUGUCAAUCAAAACCUUGGCAAUGAUCUUAUGAAGGCUAGUGACAUGGCUUAUGGCUGUAAAGGUGCAUUCAUUGCAGAAGUACAUCCAAGGGUCUCAAUCAUCGCCUUUGGAGCUGGCAAUUUGCUUGUUCUAUUUGGGAUAGUUUUUAAGAAUUUUACAGGGUUUGUUGCCUUGUAAUGGACUGUUCUAUCUUUAGGAGAUUUCGUUUCUGUACCCACAGUUUCAUUACAAGGGACAAUUUCUUUUGCAUGUGGUUUUUGUCUGUUUUAUGAAGUAUUUAGCUUGAAAGGAAUACUAGGAUAUUUAGAGGAGUUAAUAGGUCUUGAGGAGAGGUUUGCACUCUGCCUAGAUUUAGUAUUUCUCUUUGGGCUUCCUGUUCCAAGGUUUAUUAUUAUUUUCUUUUGUAAUUAUUCAUUAGACAUGAUUCUCUUUGGUUGAAGCCCUUAGUUAUUUAGUUAGUCUGCUCCUUUUGUUUGGCCAUUGUUGUUGUAAGUCCCUUGACUCUCUUUCAUGUCUUCUCAAUGAAAGAUUUGGUUAUAGAGA